rfam:Mesocricetus auratus contig158984, whole genome shotgun sequence.
GGACGCUUCGCCAGCACACACACUAAAAUUGGAACUACACAGAGAGGAUUAGCAUGGCCCCUGUGCAAGGAUGACACGCAAAUUCAUGAAGUGUUCUGUAUUUUG